rnacentral:lncRNA from 1 species
GAUUGUUGUUUGCAUCUACUUCAUGGUGUUUAUGAUCAUCCUGGGGGUGUUUCAGAUCUGGGCUGCACAUCAGUGAACCUCGCAGGACCAGGACACGGGGAAGGAGAAUGAGAUGGAUGGCAAUGACUCUGCCUUGACCAUCACCAUGAACUCCAAAAGGAGACCUACCGGGACCAGCACAGUGGUAAGGAGGAAGAGGAAGAAGAGAAAGAGCAGUG